rnacentral:lncRNA from 1 species
GAGGCUAGAAAUCAAAAUUUGGCUCUACAGACCCAUGAUAUUCCCUCUCUGAUCUACUUCUCUGGACAUCUGGGUUUCCUGUGGAUUGUGUUCAAUCAGCAAUGUUGAGUACUUAUAUGGAAAAACAAGCAAACAAACAUAAAACAACAGCAACAAGUCGAAGCAGGAAUUCAGGUUACAAGACAAAGACUUCAAUUUUUGCUCAGACACAGAGGCCAUUCCCAAGAACUCAACACAGGAAAGCUGGCCUCUGCCCCCAGAAGCUUCCAGGCGAAGGAGAACAGUCAAGGAUCCAAAGUCCUAGGUGCUCAGCUGGAGGUGAUUUCCACUCACACCAAUCUUCCAAAACCCUGGGACUUGGGACCGAGCAGCAGCAUUAUGUCAUUUCCAGGCAAAGCCCUAAGUUCUGUCUUCGCUUCAUGUGGUCUCUUUUCGCAUUUUGCACUUCGUCAUUUGCUGCUUCAUCUGACCUAACUCAAUGA